UGCAAAACGGGACUGCCCUGGAGGGUGCUA
rnacentral:piRNA from 1 species